AGGUACGGUGGUAAACUUCAUCUAAGACUUAAUAUUGCCACGAGGCCGAUAGCAAACAAGUACUGUGAAGAAGUUGCAAAGCACUUUGAAGAGAGAGUUAAAGAGGACGUGAAACCGGUGAGGUGGAAACUGAUAGAGUCGGCGUAUCAUUCAAGUAUUCAGUUACAUUAUUUUUAUGUUGUAAACUCUGAGCUCCAGAUUGGGACAGAGUGAAGCAGCAUAAUUUUUUGUGGUGCAUUUACUUGAUUGGUGCUUGGGGAUGUUUGAGGCAGAUUUGUUUCCGUCGUUUUGAGGCCAGCUUGCUGGUACCCAAACGGUGUUAGCAUUUUUUGUCUUAGACAUUUGAGUAUGGCUUACGGACAUUUAUUGGUUCGAGCUGAGCAUAGGUUACGGUCGCGUGCGAUCUGUGCUUUUCGUUUAGAUCGGUCCAGUUUAUGCCCCCGUACUCCUUCCCCAUGUAACAUCCGGUCAUCUAUCCGACCCGUCUUGAAACACGGACCAAGGAGUUUAUCGUGUGCGCAAGUUUUUGGGUGUUAAAAACCUAAAAGCGAAAUGAAAGUAAAUGGCUCUUUAGAGUCUCAUGUGCGAUCUAGUAAAAAAGAACAGCAUGGCCCCAUUCUAACUGUUUACAGUAGGGUGGCGGAAGAGCGUACGCGGUGAGACCCGAAAGAUGGUGAACUAUUCCUGAGCAGGACGAAGCCAGAGGAAACUCUGGUGGAAGUCCGAAGCGGUACUGACAAAGUAGACCUCAAGCAAAGUAGACCAAAGUGCAAUUGACCAAGUGUCGUAGGGUUCAGGCAAUAGGGUUCCCCCAGGCAAUCAAAUUUCACCAGGCAUUUUUGGUUUACUGCCUAAUG
rnacentral:rRNA from 1 species